UACGAGGGGUGCGAGCGUUGCUCGGAAUUAUUGGGCGUAAAGGGUAGGUAGGUGGUUUCGUUUGUCUGGGGUGAAAGCCUUGAGCUUAACUCAAGAAGUGCCUCGGAAACGGCGAAACUCGAGUACUGGAGAGGGUCGUGGAAUUCCCGGUGUAGCGGUGAAAUGCGUAGAGAUCGGGAGGAACACCAGAGGCGAAGGCGGCGACCUGGACAGUUACUGACACUCAACUACGAAAGCGUGGGGAGCAAACAGG
rnacentral:rRNA from 1 species